ensembl:ncRNA C34D1.9 ncRNA
UAAUUGAACAAUAAUAACAUUAUCUGUGUAGGUAUUUGCUUAAAAAUAUUCCCAAAACGGAACUAUGGAACGUGUGUACCUGGUAGCACCAUCUCUGUUUGACCAGUCCAAAAACAAUAAAUAUGAACCCUCAAUUCGAGAUGUAUUUCGGUGUAUUUU